rnacentral:lncRNA from 1 species
GCAGAAUUUAGCCGAUUCUUUUAUUGUCGGCCCUGACUUUCUCAUCAUUGUUUUUCUGCCUAAUAAAUCUUGUCACUUUCCAUUAAGUCAUAAUUUGUGAGAAAGAAAAGGCACUUUAUUGAGUCCAGUUUCCAAUUCCUCUAUUGUGGCCUAAAAAUGAUGUAUUUAUCUCUCCUAUAAACCCACAUUCUGAACAAAGCCAACUAUGGAAAGAAAAGGGUCUCAUUAAUAUUUUACUAAAAUGGCAUGACUGUAGAGCAGGCACUCAUUUCUUUGAGUCUAAUGCCUUUUUGUAGUUUACGUUUUAUUUUUGGGAGGGGGAAUGUUUUGUUUUUUUUUCCUAAAUUUUUUUUAUUUAAUCUCCUAUUCCAAGUCAGACUGUUAGACUGUAUGUGCUAGAGGUUGUCACAAACAUGAGUUAAUGCUUUGAAUUACACAACACUGCCUCCCAUACGACCAUGUGAAUUUUAAAGAGAAAAUAUAUUUUAAGAGACGGUCCAUAGAGCAAUAAUCUUUUACUUCACCCUCUUUGCUCAUGCGCACAAAAAGUGUUUAACCGAUUUGUUAAAGUAAGAUUUUGACGCCAGCAUCUAUUGCGCCUGUCUUUAGUCUAGAAAGGAAUUAAUUUGGGUUUUUCAUCUGCUCCUCAUAAUGCUGUUAACCUGUUUUAUAUUUGACUUGUAUUUUCUACACUACCUCUGUUGGGCUCGCUAUAUAUAUUUACUAUACAUGUGGCUUAACGUAGAUAUUCAUUGAGAAAAAAGAAGAUAUACAAAUAGCUAUUUUUGAUAUCCUCAAGGAAAACUAGUUGAAAAUUCUAUAUUUUUGUUUUGUUCAGUUUUUUUCUUUUUUCCCUCCCUUUUAUUGUUUGGAUAAUCUGAUAACUAACUUAGUGAUUUAAGCAAGUCAAUUGGGUGUAUAUGAAUGCCUAUAACAGUAAUGACUGCCAUCUGCUGUUAUUUAUAGGUUUUCCAAAGCAUGUGAGAUAUUGCUUGUAUCUUGGACAACUUAGCCAUACGAAUACCGUGUAAAUAUGGGCUCUACGUACUGUUUUAUGCUACGUGUUAACUGCUUUUUUUAUUUUUUAUUUUUUUUUAUUUAUUUAAACUUUGUUUAAAAUGUGAGUCAUGGUGAAAAUGGUAAAUAUCCAAUCAGACUGCGAUUAUUUUAUUGUCCAAGUUCAUUUCUAUAUCCUCAACACUUGGUGGGCCCAAAAAACAUAUAAACAGUAAAAUCAGUAUGAUUAUUGGCCUAGUUCCUACUGAGUCUGGUCACAGGUGUAAAAUAUUUUUUUUAUUUUUUAUAUUUGUUUUUCCAUUCUUUUUCAAUACAUUAUGUAUAAAAUGUAUUAAAAGGGCGUAAUUGCCAGCCUGGUGUGCUCUUUUAAAUAUUCUAAUGAAAUCCAGGAGAAGGGAAUCCUUUACAGACUAAAACACAGCAGGGUGAUUGGCUAUUUAUAUUAUUACCAUAACCACAAGACUAUAAAUUGUCUCUUGGCACUUUUUAUUCGUGUUUGUAUUCUAACCAACGGCACAUCAUUUCCUUUUUAAGUAAAACUGCAAUAUUCAGCUUUGGAUCAAAGCAGAAAUGUGCUGUUGCAAUGCUUUGGGAUGUGCACAGGAAUCAGAUUUGUGUUUGCUGAAUUAAACCGGCCUUAGAGACCAGCUGAGGGGUGCCUUCGAAUGGACACAGCCACCGAUACUAAAAAAAGUAGUGUUAGUUAAUCCAACUAUCCUUAUAAAACCAUUUGGCAUAAGCCCCACAAAAUGUAAAGGAUUAAGUGGGUACACAAUAUAGCUAGUUAAGGUGGGUGUUUUUAAGGUUCUCAAGUGUUCGUAUACCUAUUGCACACACUGCAUUUAUCUACAUUCAACUACAGAGGCUAAAAAUCCAACAAGAAGCCAUUUACAGUGCUGAGGAUGUCUUGGGUAAUUUGCACGUCAGUUUUUUUUUUUGCUUUCUUUUCUUUUUUUCUUUUUUUUUCCUUUUUUUUUAAGCUAGUGAACUUUUGCUUAGUCUUUUUGUAUUAAAAAAUGUACAUAUGAAAAUGUAGGUAUUGACCUCCUGUAAACUGAUAGUUGCACUCAGAAAUCCAAAAUGGCGGAGGUAAAAAUGAGCGGUAUUUGCACAAACCUUUCUAAUAAAAGCACAAAGCGUAAACGUGCUUCAUCAUAACUGUAAAACAAGUGGUGUUUGGUUCUCCAAAAAAAAAAUAAAAAAACGCUUUGAAGCAGUGUCCCCAAACGAGGCCAGGUUAGAGCAAAUCAAAGCGUCUCCAAGGUUUUUCCACAGGUGAGAUUUUUUUUUCCCUAGGUAUGGGAUUGGCUUGAAGAUCUGCUUAUUUAAAACAGUUGUUUAUGACCAGUGGUUGAAGUGCCUUGGAAUAUUUAAAACGGAUAUAAGGGUGGUUUUUGUUGCUCAAAUUUUUGCAGCUGAGCCUGUGAUGUCAUCGUUACUUCAUUAUUCACAGAAUGGCAAUAAGCGUUGGCACAGACACACAGGGGGUAACAUGCCAUCUUUUUUUGUCGUAGGGCUCAAUACUUUAUACUAAUUAACUAAUCCGACCAUAACAUUUAUAUUCUGUUUUGUCUCUUUUCCCAUAAUAUUAAACACUGGGGGGAGGGGGGUAUCAAAUUGGUUUGUAAAAGAACUGUGUAAAAAUGUGUAUAUUUUGGAAGUGGUUUGUCUGCUUCUUAGUGCAUAACUAUGCAAAUGAGUUGGAUGUUAAACUUUAUCGCUGAUAACCUCAUGGGUGAAGGCAAAAGUGUACUUAAAAUAAAUUAUUCUCAGUUGUCAUCAAUCUCCUUAUGUGUGUCCUGUAACUGUGACCGGUUAUGUGUUUUUCCUGUAAGACAGUCCGAAAGAUUCAUUUGAAAGAGGUUUUGGUUUUCCAAAGAAUCGAAUAUCCAGGGGUGUGACCGCUUUUUCAGAAAGUCAAAAUGAAAGGAUUUUGUU